AAUGGAUUUAACCAUCAGCACUGGUGCAUCGAUAACUGGCAAGACAAUUUAUGUACAGAUCCUUACCCAUCAUCACUCACUUUCAUAGUCGUCUUCAUCUCCAAAAGUGAAAACAGAAGCAUCCGCAGCCAUCGCUUUGAACUCACUCUCUGAGUUGUUAACCCCAAGGCCUGAGACAGCUCCACCAACAACAGCACUUCUUGGUUCAGUAGUAGCAUGCACCUGUUGCGAACCUGUGUUACCAAGAGAAAAUUGCUCGGUAGCAUGUGUUAAACGUGCAACUUGAUCAGUUUUAGUUUCAGAACUAGUAGUGCUAGUGGUAACAGUUCCUCCCUCUGCUUCACUAUCUGAAAACACUUCAUCUUUAUCAUUACAUCCCCGGUCUUUAUUUUGACUUGGAGCAGCUGCAGUAGCACUUGCAUCAACUGGAACUGGAGCAGCACUUGAACCUUCAUUUGACGCAAGUGCUAUAGGAGCUGUUUCACUGUUUGGCCCUGUUUGAGCAGGGCCAUUAUAAUCUACUAGCACAACCUCAACCUGGAAUCCUGGGGAAGGCAGUUUCCUCUUGUCGAACCCAUCGAUAUCAUUGGUGCUCAAAAUCUUUCUGUUUUCCAUCAUUGUUGUGUUUA
rnacentral:misc_RNA from 1 species